UUUUUUAUUUUUUUUUUUAAUUGAGUUUCAUUUAUUUCUGCUCUGAUCUUUAUUCUUUUUCUACUAAUUUUGGGCUUGGUUUGCUCUUGCUUUUCUAGUUCUUUAAGAUGCAUGAUUAGAUUGUUCAGUUGAAGCUUUCUUCUUCUUUUUUUUUUAAAGACACGCAUAGCUAUAAAAUUCCUUCUUAGUAUUGCUUUUGCUGUAUCCCACAGGUUUUACUAUGUUGUGUGUCCAUUAUCAUUGUUUCAAGAAGAAACUGAUAGAUUAGCUAUGUGUCCAACUUUUAUAUUAAGAGGAUGUUUAGAGAGCUAAUAAAUGUUUAGAAAUAAGUUAUCAAUAAGAACAUAGCAAGGCAAGUAAGCAAAAUAAAAUUAGGUGAUUUUCAGGAGGAGAAAGUUGUAUAAGAAAGAAGAUGCAGUUAUACUACACUAUAUUGCUUUGCUAUCGAAGCAAUAUAGUGUACUACAUUGCUAUAUUUAUGCUGGCAUAUUAAUGUAACAUUCAAUAUAUAUUUGACUCAAAUGUGACAUGCUUUGAGAAAAAUGCAGUAAGAGAAAUUAGAAGAGUGUAUGGGACUGGGUAAGGGGUUAGUAUAAAUAUCCAUUAUCCAUGGUAGAAUGUCAUGUCAAUAGAUAAUGUCUGAAAUAGGAAAGGCAAGAAAUAGCAGUACAAAUAUGUUAUUCAAAACAUAGAGUUUAAAACCAGAAAAAUUAGCUAAAAGAGUUGAAAGUGAAUGCCUGUGGGGAAUGUGAAUCACAGCAUGGGGAGGGGUAGAAAAGAGGCCUGUGAACUUCCUCACAAGCUUUGUAGUACUAUUUUACUUUAACUAUAUGAUGUGUUAUUUUGGUUAAAAUUAAUUUGAAAAUAACAAUGCACUCAAAAAAUAGGAGCAAUACAAAAUGGUACUUACCCCAAAUUAACUUUCUCCCUCUUCUCCGAAGUCUAAGGUGACACAUUCUCUUUAGUUGUAAACAUUCUAGUGUAUAUUCUUCCCAAGAUUUUUCUCUGCACACAAAAAUAUACAUCUAAGAAAAACAGCAGCUGGCCGGGCGCGGUGCCUCAAGCCUGUAAUCCCAGCACUUUGGGAGGCCGAGAUGUGCAGAUCACGAGGUCAGGAGAUCUAGACCAUCCUGGCUAACACAGUGAAACCCCGUCUCUACUAAAAAAAUACAAAAAACUAGCCGGGCCAGGUGGCGGUCGCCUGUAGUCCCAGCUACUCAGGAGGCUGAGGCAGGAUAAUGGCGUGAACCCGGGAGGCGGAGCUUGCAGUGAGCUGAGAUCCGGCCACCGCACUCCAGCCUGGGCGACAGAGCGAGACUCCGUCUCAAAAAAAAAAAAAAAAAAAAAAAAGAAAAGAAAAGAAAAGAAAAGAAAUGAAAAGAAAAACAGCAGCUUAGGGGUAAGUAGUUAUGAUGGUUAAUUCUGUCUGUCACCUUAGCUAGGUCACGAUACCCAGAAAUUUGGUUCGAACAGUAUUCUAGAUGUUUCAGUAAGGGUAUUUUUUGGAUAGAAUUAACAUUUAAAUCAGUAGCCUUUGAGUAAAGAAGAUUGCCCUACCUAACAUAGAUAAACCUCAUCCAAUCAGUUGAAGGCCUCAAGAGAAAGCGGUUCCCCAGUGAAGAGGGAAUUCUGCCUCCAGGCUGUCUUAGAACUCAGAUAGUAACUCUUCUCUGAGUCUCCAGUCUGCCAGUAGACUCUGCAGAUUUUGGACUUGCCAGCCGUAUCAUGUAAGUCAAUAUCUUAAAAUAAAUCUCUCUUAAUGUAUACACACACACACACACACACACACACACACACACACACACACACACACACACACAUACACCCUAUUGAUUCUGUUUCUCUGGAGAACUCUAAUACAGUAGUGUUUAAGGACAUACGGAGAAGGGACUUGAAGGCUGGGAGGAAUGAGUCUGAAACAAGAAAUCUGGGAUAUUCUCUAAAGUCUUUCAAGAAUGGAACGAUCUACUAGUUAGAUAUUUUCCGUGAUUGGAGUACAGAAAAUUUGCAUAGUAAGGCUCAUAAUAUGAGGCACAUUUGUGGAAAGAUUUGAAUUUUAAUAGUAAUUUGAGAGAUGACAUACUGGUAGCUAUGUUACACUAGUGCAGCUGUAAGUCUUUCAGUCGAGCCAAAGAUUUAAAAAAAAUGAGAAGCUGAAAUAAUAGAAAUAUUUCAAGUCAGACAAACUUGCUUUCAAACCCCUGAGGACAGAGUUGGUUUCAAAGCCCUACUCUGUCUUGAGUUUGCUGUGUUGUCUUGAACCAGUUAUUUCCGUAAUCUUGUGUUACCAUAUUUAUAAAAAUUGGGGCCGGGUGCGGUGGCUCAUGCCUGUAAUCCCAACACUUUGGGAGACCGAGGCAGGCAGUUUGAGACCAACAUGACGAAACCCCAUCUCUACUAAAAAUACAAAAAUUAGUUGGGCAUGGUGGUGCGUGCCUGUAAUCCCAGCUACUAAGGAGGCUAAGGCAGGAGAGUGGCUUGAACCAGGGAGGCAGAUGUUGCAGUGAGCCAAGAUCGCACCAUUGCAUUCCAGCUUGGGUGACAGAUCGAGACUACAUCUCAAAAAAAAAAAAAAGGGAUAAUUGUACCUCUCUCAUAUGGUUAUGGAGGUAAUUAAAGAAGAGGAUGUAUAUGAAUGUAAAACCCACAUUAAGGAGGGCAAGAAGUCGUGAAAAAGUAAUGAAUAUUAGUUGCUUCCAAGGAGCAGUUUAAAGGACACCAAGUCCUAAGUGACUUCCUGACAGGGAGAGCUUAAUAUCCCUCUCAUCGUCGCAGAGGAGAGGUGGGGGAAAAAGGAGAGAGAAGAAGGAAAAGGGCAGAGAAAGAACACUGACCACCCAAAAAUAAUGCACUGUCAUUUUGAAAGAAAAUGUAGAUGGAGUGUUCAAGUUAGUGAGGCAGAGACCUCAGGAACAAAAGGGGAUUAUACUUACUUGUUACAUUUGUCACUUGUCAUUGUAUGUGCAAUGAGGUUAAAUUUUUAUUAAGAUUUUAAUAGCCAGCAGCAGAAUUUCUGUUAGGAAAAAAACUGUCUUUAUUUGAAAAUAACUUGAUUGGUUACUCCUUCCCAACUUGGAGCAGAGCCUGGAUGUCAGCAGUAAACAAGACAUCAGAGAAAGGGGAAGCUGUCAGAUGAAAGGAGGAAUUUCUUGUGUGUUUGUUUGCUUUUUCUCCCUCUGGAUAAAAGAAGCAAAAAUGAGUAAUGGUCAGAGAAAAGGAGGGAAGGAAAGAAGCCAGCAAGGUAGAAAAAAAGCCUGGAAGGAGGGACGUGACUCAUCAGCGAACCCUCAGAUAGUAGAGUAGCUAACAAAUGCAAUGCCUCAUACAUUGGAGUUUUGUUAGAUGUCACUGCCAAGAUGCUAAGAUGGGCUCUCAUUUGUGCACAGGUACUUUUAUUCUCAGGGGCAUAUAUUUUAAAGACCCCAGAACAGAAGGUGUUGUCCCAUAAAGUCUCAAGGAACCUACCAGUUUUCAAUGAAUUCGCUUUUUCAAUCUGAUUUCUUUUUUUUUUUUUCAUUAUUAUACUUUAAGUUCUGGGAUACAUGUGCAGAACAUGCAGGUUUGUUAUAUAAAUAUACACGUGCCAUGGUGGUUUGCUGCAACCAUCAACCCAUCAUCUACAUUAGGUAUUUCUCCUAAUGCUCUCCCUGCCCUGGCCCCCUACCACUCAACAGGCCCCAGUAUGUGAUGUUCCCCUCCCUGUGCCCACGUUUUCAUUGUUCAGCUCCCACUUAUGAGUGAGAACAUGCAGUGUUUGGUUUUCUGUUCCUGUGUUAGUUUGCUGAGAAUGAUGGAUUACAGCUUGAACCAUGUCCCUGCAAAGGGCAUAAACUCAUUCUUUUUAUGGCUGCAUAGUAUUCCAUAGUGUAUAUGUGCCACAUUUACUUUAUCCAGUCUAACAUUGAUGGGCAUUUGUUUCGUUUCCAAGUCUUUGCUAUUGAAAACAGUGCUGCAACAAACAUACAUGUGCAUGUGUCUUUAUAGUAGAAUGCUUUACAAUCCUUUGGGUAUAUACCCAGUAAUGGGAUUACUGGGUUAAAUGGUAUUUCUGGUUCCAGAUCCUUGAGGAAUUGCCACACUGUCUUCCACAAUGGUUGAACUAAUUUACACUCCCACCAACAAUGUAAAAGCGUUCCUGUUUCUCCACAUCCUCUCCAGCAUCUAUUGUUUGCUGACUUUGUAAUGAUCGCCAUUCUAACUGGCAUGAGAUGGUAUCUCAUUCUGGUUUUGAUUUGCAUUUCUCAAAUGACCAGUGAUCAUGAGCUUUUUUUUCAUGUUUGUUGGCCGCAUAAAUGUCUUCCUUUGAGAUGUGUCUGUUCAUAUACUUUGUCCACUUUUUGAUGGGUUUUUUUUUCUUGUAAAUUUGUUUAAGUUCCUUGUAGAUUCUGGAUACUAGCCAUUUUUCACAUUGCAAAAAUUUUCUCCCAUUCUAUAGGUUGCCUGUUCACUCUGAUGAUAGUUUCUGUUGCUGUGCAGAAGCUCUUUAAUUUAAUAAGAUCCCAUUUGUCAAUUUUGGUUUCUGUUGCCAUUGCUUUUGGUGUUUUACUCAUGAAGUCUUUGCC
ensembl:lncRNA